CAGUCGCCGCGGUAAUACGAAGGGGGCUAGCGUUGUUCGGAUUUACUGGGCGUAAAGGGCGCGUAGGCGGACUGAUAAGUCAGGGGUGAAAUCCCAAGGCUCAACCUUGGAACUGCCUUUGAUACUGGCGAUCUUGAGUAUGGGAGAGGUGUGUGGAACUCCGAGUGUAGAGGUGAAAUUCGUAGAUAUUCGGAAGAACACCAGUGGCGAAGGCGACACACUGGCCCAUUACUGACGCUGAGGCUCGAAAGCGUGGGGAGCAAACAGGAUUAGAUACCCCAGUAGUCCCUGUCUCUUAUAC
rnacentral:rRNA from 1 species